UUUUUUGGUACCAGGGAUUGAAUACAAGGGUGCUUAACCACUGAGCCACAUCCCCAGCCCUUUUUUACAUUUUAUUUAGAGACAGGGUCUUGCUGAGUUGCUUUAGGGUCUCACUACAUUGCUCAGGCUGGCUUUGAACUUGCAAUCCUCCUGUUUCAGCCUCCCCAGCUGCUGGGAUUACAGGUGUGUGCCAUUGUGCCUGGGUGGUCAAAUGAUUUUUUGACAAAAGCUAAGACCAAUUGGUGGGGAAAAGACAGUCUUUUCAAAUUAUGGUACAGGGAAAGCUGGAUGUGUGUAUGCAAAAGAACAAAGGUCCUCACCUAACGCCAUAUACAAAAAUGAACUGAAACUAGAUCCAAGAGCUAAAUAUAAAUCCAUAGCCAGUACAACUCUUAGGAAAAAAAGUUCGUAGGACAAAACUUCAUGUCAUUGAAUCGGUAGUCAUUUUUUUAGCUAUUGUACCAAAGGUACAGGCAACAAAGGAAAAGUUAGACAAGGGAUUAAUAUCCUGGAUAUGUAGAGUACUUCUAAAACUCAACAAAGUCCUUACACAAAAAUGGGCAAAGGACUUCAAUAGAUAUUUCUUCAAAGAAGAUAGACCAAUGGCCAAUAAGCACAUGAGAAAAAUGUUCAACAUCAUUAAGGACAUGCAAAUCAAAAUCCCAAUGACAUGUACCUCACCUAUUAGGGUGGCUACUGUCAAAAAA
rnacentral:lncRNA from 1 species